CAUCCUCCACAUUUAGAACCCUAUCUGAGGGGUAUUUAUGAUCUGGCUAAUGGCAAUCUGGGCAGGGACAGAGCAGACUGUGCUCCUCAGAAUGGUGCACAAUUUAAAACUUAUGAAUCGUUUAUUUCUGGAAUUCGCUAUUUAUGUCACAAUACUUAUGUCAUUCACCUCACUUCAUCUCAUCAUGUAGGUAUUUUAUCAUCUCACAUCACAAGAAGGAGAAGGGUGAGUUCAGUACACUAAGAUGCUUUGAGAGGGAGACCAUACAUAACUUUUAUUACAGUAC
rnacentral:lncRNA from 1 species